UUACAAAAUUAUAUCAGCUCAGCUUAACAACCUUAUCCUAAAGCUAAUCGACUCUUAUAAACCAAGCCGGUUAACUAAUCACAUUAGCACAAACCGCAUCCGUGAUAUCUAAUAGAGAGAACCGGUUUUAUCUAUUCAAUACAAACUUAACCGGACUAUAACCAAGUCCUAAUCUAGUACUGAAUCAAUCAACCUAACCGUCAUAAAGACUUUGUCUAUAUCUUUCACAAAGUAAAAGUGAUUUUGGCUAUCAGUUUGUUGCUGCCGUAUUAUACAGUGGUAAUCUAUAACAGGAGCAAUGCCGUUUUGACUUAACGUUUUGUUUCUAUUUUUGCUACUGUUUUUU
rnacentral:lncRNA from 1 species